AUUGAACGCUGGCGGCAGGCCUAAUACAUGCAAGUCGAACGGUAACAUAAAAGAAGCUUGCUUCUUUUGAUGACGAGUGGCGGACGGGUGAGUAAUAUUUGGGAAACUACCUGAUAGAGGGGGACAACAGUUGGAAACGACUGCUAAUACCGCAUAAAGCCUAAGGGUGAAAGCAGCAAUGCGCUAUCAGAUGUGCCCAAACGGGAUUAGCUAGUAGGUGAGGUAAAGGCUCACCUAGGCGACGAUCUCUAGCUGGUCUGAGAGGAUGAUCAGCCACAUUGGGACUGAGACACGGCCCAGACUCCUACGGGAGGCAGCAGUAGGGAAUAUUGCACAAUGGAGGAAACUCUGAUGCAGCCAUGCCGCGUGUGUGAAGAAGGCC
rnacentral:rRNA from 1 species